GAGAGAGAUUACAAAGGUAUAACACAAAGAAGAUAUGUAUUAGAAGUAAUCCAAAAAUAGAAACUAAAAAGAGAGAGAUUACAAAGGUAUAACACAAAGAAGAUAUGUAUUAGAAGUAAUCCAAAAAUAGAAACUAAAAAGAGAGAGAUUACAAAGGUAUAACACAAAGAAGAUAUGUAUUAGAAGUAAUCCAAAAAUAGAAACUAAAAAGAGAGAGAUUACAAAGGUAUAACACAAAGAAGAUAUGUAUUAGAAGUAAUCCAAAAAUAGAAAAUAAAAAGAGAGAGAUUACAAAGGUAUAACACAAAGAAGAUAUAUAUUAGAAGUAAUCCAAAAAUAGAAACUAAAAAGAGAGAGAUUAUAAAGGUAUAACACAAAGAAGAUAUGUAUUAGAAGUAAUCCAAAAAUAGAAACUAAAA
rnacentral:lncRNA from 1 species